UGCCAAAGGAGAUUAACAUUUCAGUCAGUGGAUUUGGAAAGGCAGACGCACUCUCAAUCUGGGUAGGCACAACAUAAUCAGCUGCCAGUGCGGUCAGAAUAAAAGCAGGCAGAAGAACGUGGAAAGAUCAGACUAGUUUAUUCUUCCGGCCUACACCUUUCUCCUGUGCUGGAAGCUUCCUGCCCUUCAACAUUGGACUUCAACUUCCUCAGCUUUGGGACUCGAACUGGCUUCCUUGCUCCUCAGCUUGCGACCUAUUGUAGGACCUCACCUUGUGAUUGUGUAGGGCAGGACACCUGCCACAUGAAGGUUUUCAGGGAAGAAGGAAAAGAGAAGAUCGGAGAGCGACCCUCCUAGGUUUUAUGGGUUGCUUCAGGAAAAAGAAUGAAGAGAAGAGUCGGCAUUUCACCGUGUUAGCCAGGAUGGUCUCGAUCUUCUGACCUUGUGAUCUGCCCGCCUCGGCCUCCCAAAGUGCUGGGAUUACAGGUGUGAGCCACUGUGCCUGGCCUCUUUCCUCUUUUACAGUCCUCGAUUUUAUAUGUUUUUGCCCUAAAUACAGCAUUAUCUCAAGGAAAGACUCUUAUAAUCAAACUGUAAAAUACUCGCUUUUGGAUUUUAAAUGCAAGGGCCUAAAUAAAUAAAUAAAUAUGUGAGGAGAAAAUAUGUGAAAGCUGGGAGUUCUUCUCUUCUGAUAAUAGAAGAUGAAGAUUCUCUUAGCUGGGGGAGUGAAAAGAACUAGUUAGAAAUCAAGAGUUAUACUCUCUUGAACUUCUAUGUAUCUUAAAGAAGGGACUUUGUAAAUUUAAAUUUUAUCAUAGCAGAGAAGAAAAUACAUAUUGAAAACACAACCGUGUCUGAAGGAUCUAAGAGAAGAGGGCCAAUCUAUUGCUGUUACGAAGGAGGAACUAAACUGUAUAGCAUACAAGCAGUAGUCGAAGAUACGGCUCCACUUGUUAUUUGGGCAGGAAUACUUGGCCCCAUAUCCCCUCACCAAGUUUUCCUGUGUUCACUUUGACUGAGAAGCAACCAAAUGACUCUCAUAAGGUCAGGAGAGGUAUAGAAGUAGCCAAUGGAAAGGGAUAGGCCUAAGAGAGCUUCAUGUAUGGUGUAAAAGAGAAGCUGCCAUGAUCUACUAAAAAUCAGAGACUUUUUGAAAGCAUAAAUGUAUUAGAAAAAUCAGCACAGACAGGUGAAAAACAACUCUGGUAAGUGAGCUAGAUGCCUGCAUUGACUGAGGAAAACUUGAAAAGACUUCACUAAAACUGACAGAUUAGGUUUAUGAUAUCAGUGGAAUAAGUCUCAAAGUAGGAAUUAAAUUCAGACAUGAACAG
rnacentral:lncRNA from 10 species